rnacentral:rRNA from 1 species
CCUACGGGAGGCUGCAGUGGGGAAUAUUGCACAAUGGGGGAAACCCUGAUGCAGCGACGCCGCGUGAGUGAAGAAGUAUUUCGGCACGUAAAGCUCUAUCAGCAGGGAAGAAAAUGACGGUACCUGAUUAAGAAGCCCCGGCUAACUACGUGCCAGCAGCCGCGGUAAUACGUAGGGGGCAAGCGUUAUCCGGGUUUACUGGGUGUAAAGGGGGCGUAGACGGCAGCACCAGUCUGGAGUGAAAGGCCGGGGCUUAACCCCGGAACUGCUUUGGAAACUGGGCGGCUAGAGUGCAGGAGAGGAAAGUGGAAGUCCUGGUGUAGCGGUGAAAUGCGUAGAUAUUAGGAGGAACACCAGUGGCGAAGGCGGCUUACUGGACUGUAACUGACGUUGAGGCUCGAAAGCGUGGGGAGCAAACAGGAUUAGAUACCCGUGUAGUC